ACCAAGCUCCACCAUCUGGAAUCUACCUGAGAGAUAGGAGCGGUCUAACCAUUGCCUCCUUCAAACAAGCAGGCACCCUACCCUCCCUCAGCUGUGCAUUUAUGAUAUUAACCAGGCCACCUCCAACAAUCUCCCUGCUAGAUAAAAGCAGCCAAGUCGGGCAAGGUUCCAGAGAACAAGUGUUCAUUAAUAAUAAAAGGAUAUUUGGACAUCCAAAUUGACUGUUGUGGAAACCUAAAGGCUUCAAAACAAAACUUUGAUAAUUCCAGUAUUACAUCAGGAGCCAAGUACAAGCAGCACUAGCAACAGAUGAUCUCUUCCCUAGUGUUUUGCUGCUCUUCCUCCAAAUCCUAUUCAGGCAAGGAAGAUUCCACUUCCUCCUUAUGUUUCUGCUCAGUGUGUCCAGAUCUGGAGUAUUUUAUGCAUCAUUUUUCUCCACACUAGGGAAUUUCUAAACUGAUACCUCAGUGUCGUUGAACACGUGUGCUUCUUUGCAUGGAUUCCACUUCGCAGAGUCAGGAUAUGGAAUGAACUCCAAGUAAGGAUAAAUUGAUGUCCUGGUGAAAUUGAAGCCCUGAAUUCCAUCUUCAGGAAAGACAAUGAUCUGUGCCCCCUGACAGUAGAUGAUUACUCCUACAUUUCGGCAAGUGAUAAUACAGCCUGUGCGUCCUGGUAAUACUAUUAGUGGAUGGAGGGAAGUCUUAGGAGGUUCUGUGUUAAUGAUUCCAGAAGAGGUCUGGCAGUGGUGGUGAUUCCAUGGUAGUCCAUUGCAGCAAAAAAAGAUAAGAACCUCAUGACUCUAAUAACCAGUUGGCAUACAUAUAUAUAUUUCAUCUAAUUGCAAAUGCAAAUGGAUUACUCCACCUGUCUAGCAGCAGCAAGCACUUGCUCUUCAUAAAUGUCUAGGUUUCUGUUCAUCAGCUGUAGUGCAGACUGUCGAUCAGUGAUGGUGGUCGGAUUGGGAUUCAGGAUGGCAUGAUGUUCGUACACAGCCGCAACAUAAUGCCCCCCUUUGCGAACAUCUACAGAGAGGACUUGAGAACAGAACAGUACAAGUAUACAGCUGCAACCCAAUGUUAUGUCUGCCAUGAAUCUAAAAUGGAAGCAGAUGCCAAGGAUAUAUUACCAAUAAGGAAUAAGCAUGUAAUAUUUCUAAUGUUUAAAGCUCUUAUUAAAUUUGAAACUGA